rnacentral:rRNA from 1 species
GAUGAACGCUGGCGGCGUGCCUAAUACAUGCAAGUCGAGCGAACAGAUGAGGAGCUUGCUCCUCUGACGUUAGCGGCGGACGGGUGAGUAACACGUGGAUAACCUACCUAUAAGACUGGGAUAACUUCGGGAAACCGGAGCUAAUACCGGAUAAUAUAUUGAACCGCAUGGUUCAAUAGUGAAAGACGGUUUUGCUGUCACUUAUAGAUGGAUCCGCGCCGGAUUAGCUAGUUGGUAAGGUAACGGCUUACCAAGGCAACGAUGCGUAGCCGACCUGAGAGGGUGAUCAGCCACACUGGAACUGAGACACGGUCCAGACUCCUACGGGAGGCAGCAGUAGGGAAUCUUCCGCAAUGGGCGAAAGCCUGACGGAGCAACGCCGCGUGAGUGAUGAAGGUCUUCGGAUCGUAAAGCUCUGUUAUUAGGGAAGAACAAAUGUGUAAGUAACUAUGCACGUCUUGACGGUACCUAAUCAGAAAGCCACGGCUAACUACGUG